UCCUCCACCAUGAUCGCCUGAGACUCGUCAUUUAUUUAGGGAAUGAAGGGCUCUCCUCCUCCCUGAAAAUUCGCUGCUGAACUCCUGAGGCUUGGCAUCACCGCUGGAGCCUGCCCCACUGCCCAGAAUUUGGUGCUAUCUGCUGGUGAGCACCCGCCAGGCCUGUGUCUCACGGGACCCGCCUUUCAGUCUGCCUGGCCUGUGUCUUGUAUUUAGGCUGUGUGUCAACCAGGCUUUUGGAACUCCACUGCCGUCUGAUACCGGAAAACUCAUUUCCACCUCCUGAGGGGAGACCUGGAGACCGGAGAAUACUCUAGCUGUUCCAGGGAGAAACAGAACCUUUGAUCCUGGGAGUUCCUCUGUUCCUAUCGGGAAGCAAACUGCCUGAACCGGCCUUUGAGAGAAACAUGUACUUCCGUUUCCCGCCUGGGAGCCCAGCAGUGGAAAGGCAGAAUGACAGCCACGUCCAAGGACAACCCAGGCUACUUGUCCCACACAGAACAAGGUCACUGUGGUCAUGGUGUCUCUUCACAACAACAGAACAGUAACUGAGAAAGAGACUCUGUUUUAAAAAAAACAAAAUAAACAAAGUCUGUACCACCCAAUCCAGUUACACACCCUGAUUGUUAAAACUUACAUUCUAAUAACAUAAUAACAUUUCCAGAUGAUAGUAGCAUUUAAAGUUUUAUUGUAAAAACAAUAUGACAUUAAAUAAAAACAUUGGAAAAACAUCAUUCAUAAUCUCACCACCUUAACAAA